UCUCAACUGCACCCGUUACAGGGAAUUAAUAAAGGGUCCCACCCACCUUUCAAUGUACCCUGCUUAAAUCCUGAGUAAGAUCCACAGCGUGCAUGCUGUUUGCAUUCAUAUCUUGAUUGUUUUAUUGUCAUUUUUAUACAAAUUGCUAGGGAACACUAUUGAAAGGCAGAAUGGGAAAAAAAACCACCAACACUUAUAAUGAAUGAAUGAAACACCACCUAUCCUACUAAUCCUGCAAAUUAAGCUAUAUUAAGCUCACUCAAUUGCACUCCGUGCUGUUAGGCAUUCAACAGGUGAUGCCAGUGACCAAAUUCGGGCUGCCGGGUCGGCAGAACUAACAAGCAACCAUCUAAGUUUCUGAACGCAGUCAAGACUAAUUUCAUUAUCAUUUCCCUCCUAGCCCUGCAAUCAGGAAGAACCUCGGGAAGAUCUAAUUGCACAGCCUACAGUGGGAUGUCUGAACAAGAGAAGUAGGCUACAGGUCGCUGUCAACUUUUAUUCUGUAUGUGAGGAUAGGGUGGGGAGAGAGAAAGAGAGAGAGAUGCCAUUUCCUUCAUCCUUCCGACUGCUCCUGCCCCUGUUUCUCCUGCAUGGCCAGCUUCUGAUUGCCAUCACCACCAAUGCCUUCCUAUUCUGGUGAAGGAGGGGCUGGCACAUACACACACAUAGUGCAUUUCACAGCCUACCUACUCAAGCUGAAGCUAGAAAAGCCAUAAGGGCUCUAGAGCAGGUGGUGCAUAAACAGUGUGUUACUAUGAAUACAGAUUAGAACUAUUCCUACAAGACCUGGCAGAGACACCCAGCCUCCUCUGCAAAACCCACAGACCAAAAGGCAUGCAGUUUAGUUGCAGCUCAGAGUUCAGCCUGUCCUACAGAGCCAUAACUCUUGCCUUCUGGCUGCCUCACUUGUGAGAAAGCUACCGCAAAAUGGUGCGGGGAGGCCUCAGGGUUUCUGUCGUUAAAGGAGACAGGAACCAAGAAAGAAGGAAUAGUGGACACUUUAUGCAUCAAGAGCUUCUGAGCUCUCAACUUUCCAGUGGCAUUUGCUUUUUGUUUAGUGGGGUGGCAUCCACAACCCCCAUUGGAACUAAUCUCCUUCACAAGUCUUCCCUGCAAAGAUAUACUCUCCCGGUGGUUUCUUCAAACACACUGCGCUUCUUUGUAGCGAAUAAACAAAAGAAAGAAAUACACAA